GUUGUAUGGUUAAGUGACUAAGCGUACACGGUGGAUGCCUUGGCAGUCAGAGGCGAUGAAGGACGUAGUAACUUGCGAUAAGCGUAGAUGAGGCAGUAACAGCCACUUGAGUCUACGAUUUCCGAAUGGGGAAACCCACUGGCAUAAGCCAGUAUCAUUGAGUGAAUACAUAGCUCAAUGAAGCGAACCGGGAGAACUGAAACAUCUAAGUACCCCGAGGAAAAGAAAUCAACCGAGAUUCCGAAAGUAGCGGCGAGCGAAAUUGGAUUAGCCCUUAAGCUUUACAUGUGUUAGACGAACGGUCUGGAAAGUCCGACGAUACAGGGUGAUAGUCCCGUAGUUGACGAUGCAUGUUCAGUGAAAUCGAGUAGGGCGGGACACGUGUUAUCCUGUCUGAAUAUGGGGGGACCAUCCUCCAAGGCUAAAUACUCCUGACUGACCGAUAGUGAACCAGUACCGUGAGGGAAAGGCGAAAAGAACCCCUGUGAGGGGAGUGAAAUAGAACCUGAAACCGUGUACGUACAAGCAGUAGGAGCACCUUCGUGGUGUGACUGCGUACCUUUUGUAUAAUGGGUCAGCGACUUAUAUUCAGUGGCAAGGUUAACCAUCUAGGGGAGCCGUAGGGAAACCGAGUCUUAACUGGGCGCCAUAGUCUCUGGAUAUAGACCCGAAACCGAGUGAUCUAGCCAUGGGCAGGUUGAAGGUUGAGUAACAUCAACUGGAGGACCGAACCGACUAAUGUUGAAAAAUUAGCGGAUGACUUGUGGCUAGGGGUGAAAGGCCAAUCAAACUCGGAGAUAGCUGGUUCUCCCCGAAAGCUAUUUAGGUAGCGCCUCGGACGAAUACUACUGGGGGUAGAGCACUGUUAAGGCUAGGGGGUCAUCCCGACUUACCAACCCUUUGCAAACUCCGAAUACCAGUAAGUACUAUCCGGGAGACACACGGCGGGUGCUAACGUCCGUCGUGGAGAGGGAAACAACCCAGACCGCCAGCUAAGGUCCCAAAUUACAGCUAAGUGGGAAACGAUGUGGGAAGGCUUAGACAGCUAGGAUGUUGGCUUAGAAGCAGCCAUCAUUUAAAGAAAGCGUAAUAGCUCACUAGUCGAGUCGGCCUGCGCGGAAGAUGUAACGGGGCUAAGUUGUAAA
rnacentral:rRNA from 1 species